rnacentral:rRNA from 1 species
AGCGAACGCUGGCGGCAGGCUUAACACAUGCAAGUCGAACGCAUCCUUCGGGGAGAGUGGCAGACGGGUGAGUAACACGUGGGAACGUACCUCUUUGUUCGGAAUAGCUUUUGGAAACGAAAGGUAAUACCGGAUACGCCCUUUUGGGGAAAGAUUUAUCGCAGAGAGAUCGGCCCGCGUCUGAUUAGCUAGUUGGUGAGGUAAUGGCUCACCAAGGCGACGAUCGGUAGCUGGUCUGAGAGGAUGAUCAGCCACACUGGGACUGAGACACGGCCCAGACUCCUACGGGAGGCAGCAGUGGGGAAUAUUGGACAAUGGGCGCAAGCCUGAUUCAGCCAUGCCGCGUGAGUGAUGAAGGCCUUAGGGUUGUAAAGCUCUUUUGUCCGGGAAGAUAAUGACUGUACCGGAAGAAUAAGCCCCGGCUAACUUCGUGCCAGCCGCCGCAGUAA